ACGGGAGGCAGCAGUGGGGGAUAUUGCACAAUGGGCGCAAGCCUGAUGCAGCGACGCCGCGUGAGUGAAGAAGUAUUUCGGUAUGUAAAGCUCUAUCAGCAAGGAAGAUAAUGACGGUACCCGACUAAGAAGCCCCGGCUAACUACGUGCCAGCAGCCGCGGUAAUACGUAGGGGGCAAGCGUUAUCCGGAUUUACUGGGUGUAAAGGGAGCGUAGGCGGCAUGAUAAGUCAGCAGUGAAAGCCCGGGGCUCAACUCCGGGACUGCUGUUGAAACUGUCAGGCUUGAUUUCAGGAGAGGAAAGCGGAAUUCCUAGUGUAGCGGUGAAAUGCGUAGAUAUUAGGAGGAACACCAGUGGCGAAGGCGGCUUUCUGGACUGACAAUGACGCUGAGGCUCGAAAGCGUGGGGAGCAAACAGGAUUAGAUACCCUGGUA
rnacentral:rRNA from 1 species